rnacentral:rRNA from 1 species
GACGAACGCUGGCGGCGUGCUUAACACAUGCAAGUCGAACGGAAAGGCCUGCUUUCCCUUGUGGAUUGCGGGUACUCGAGUGGCGAACGGGUGAGUAACACGUGAGUGAUCUGCCCCCAACUUGGGUAUAAGCCUGGGAAACUGGGUCUAAUUCCCGAUAGGACUGCAGGGUGGUGCCCGUGGUGGAAAACGAUUUUCUAGUGGUUGGGGAUGAGCUCGCGGCCUAUCGGCUUGUUGGUGGGGUAAUGGCCUACCAAGGCGGCGACGGGUAGCCGGCCUGAGAGGGUGGGCGGCCACAUUGGGACUGAGAUACGGCCCAGACUCCUACGGGAGGCAGCAGUGGGGAAUAUUGCACAAUGGGCGGAAGCCUGAUGCAGCGACGCCGCGUGGGGGAUGACGGCCUUCGGGUUGUAAACUCCUUUCGACCGCGAGGAAGCCACCUGGUUGGAAGGGUGGUGACGGUAGUGGUAGAAGAAGCACCGGCUAACUACGUG